CCUACGGGGGGCAGCAGUGGGGGAUAUUGCACAAUGGGGGAAACCCUGAUGCAGCGACGCCGCGUGUAGGAAUACGGUCCUCUGGAUUGUAAACUACUGUCCCCAGGGACGAAGAUGACGGUACCUGGGGAGGAAGCUCCGGCUAACUACGUGCCAGCAGCCGCGGUAAUACGGAGGGAGCGAGCGUUGUCCGGAAUUACUGGGUGUAAGGGGAGCGUAGGCGGGGGUGCAAGUUGGGUGUUAAAUCUACCGGCUCAACUGGUAGUCGCACUCAAAACUGCAGCUCUUGAGGGAAGUAGAGGCAGGCGGAAUUCCUAGUGUAGCGGUGAAAUGCGUAGAUAUUAGGAGGAACACCAGUGGCGAAGGCGGCCUGCUGGGCUUUUACUGACGCUGAGGCUCGAAAGUGUGGGGAGCAAACAGGAUUAGAUACCCUGGUAGUC
rnacentral:rRNA from 1 species